UGGGGAAUAUUGCACAAUGGGCGCAAGCCUGAUGCAGCCAUGCCGCGUGUGUGAAGAAGGCUCUAGGGUUGUAAAGCACUUUCAGUUGGGAGGAAAAGUCGUUGUUUAAUAGAUAACGGCCCUGACGUUACCAACAGAAGAAGCACCGGCUAACUCCGUGCCAGCAGCCGCGGUAAUACGGAGGGUGCAAGCGUUAAUCGGAAUUACUGGGCGUAAAGCGCGCGUAGGCGGCUUGUUAAGCCAGAUGUGAAAGCCCCGGGCUCAACCUGGGAACUGCAUUUGGAACUGGCAAGCUAGAGUGUGUGAGAGGUGAGUGGAAUUUCCUGUGUAGCGGUGAAAUGCGUAGAUAUAGGAAGGAACAUCAGUGGCGAAGGCGACUCACUGGCACAACACUGACGCUGAGGUGCGAAAGCGUGGGUAGCAAACGGG
rnacentral:rRNA from 1 species